AGUGAACGCUGGCGGUGGGCCUAACACAUGCAAGUCGAACGGCAGCACAGUAAGAGCUUGCUCUUACGGGUGGCGAGUGGCGGACGGGUGAGGAAUACAUCGGAAUCUACUUUUUCGCGGGGGAUAACGUAGGGAAACUUACGCUAAUACCGCAUACGACCUACGGGUGAAAGCAGGGGAUCUUCGGACCUUGCGCGAUUGAAUGAGCCGAUGUCGGAUUAGCUAGUUGGCGGGGUAAAGGCCCACCAAGGCGACGAUCCGUAGCUGGUCUGAGAGGAUGAUCAGCCACACUGGAACUGAGACACGGUCCAGACUCCUACGGGAGGCAGCAGUGGGGAAUAUUGGACAAUGGGCGCAAGCCUGAUCCAGCCAUACCGCGUGGGUGAAGAAGGCCUUCGGGUUGUAAAGCCCUUUUGUUGGGAAAGAAAAGCAGCAGGUUAAUACCCCGCUGUUCUGACGGUACCCAAAGAAUAAGCACCGGCUAACUUCGUG
rnacentral:rRNA from 1 species